GAUGAACGCUAGCGACAGGCUUAACACAUGCAAGUCGAGGGGCAGCAUAAAAGUAGCAAUACUUUGGUGGCGACCGGCGCACGGGUGAGUAACGCGUAUGCAACCUACCUAUCAGAGGGGAAUAACCCGGCGAAAGUCGGACUAAUACCGCAUAAAACAGGGGCACCGCAUGGUGAUAUUUGUUAAAGAAAUUCGCUGAUAGAUGGGCAUGCGUUCCAUUAGGUAGUUGGUGAGGUAACGGCUCACCAAGCCGACGAUGGAUAGGGGAACUGAGAGGUUGGUCCCCCACACUGGUACUGAGACACGGACCAGACUCCUACGGGAGGCAGCAGUGAGGAAUAUUGGGUCAAUGGGGCGGGAGCCUGAACCAGCCAAGUCGCGUGAAGGAAGAAGGAUCUAUGGUUCGUAAACUUCUUUUGCAGGGGAAUAAAGUGCAGGACGUGUCCUGUUUUGUAUGUACCCUGAGAAUAAGGAUCGACUAACUCCGUG
rnacentral:rRNA from 1 species